rnacentral:rRNA from 1 species
ACGGGUGCGUAACGCGUGGGAACAUACCCUCCGGUUCGGAAUAGCUCAGGGAAACUUGGAUUAAUACCGGAUACGGCUGAGAGGCGAAAGAUUUAUCGCCGGAGGAUUGGCCCGCGUUCGAUUAGCUUGUUGGUGAGGUAACGGCUCACCAAGGCGAUGAUCGAUAGCUGGUCUGAGAGGAUGAUCAGCCACAUUGGGACUGAGACACGGCCCAAACUCCUACGGGAGGCAGCAGUGGGGAAUAUUGGACAAUGGGCGCAAGCCUGAUCCAGCCAUGCCGCGUGAGUGAUGACGGCCUUAGGGUUGUAAAGCUCUUUCGCUCGGGACGAUAAUGACGGUACCGAGAUAAGAAGCCCCGGCUAACUUCGUGCCAGCAGCCGCGG